rnacentral:rRNA from 1 species
AGUCUGGUGCCAGCAGCCGCGGUAAUUCCAGCUCCAAUAGUGUAUACUAAAGUUGCUGCAGUUAAAAAGCUCGUAGUUGGAUUUCGGUUAAUGAAAAGUUAGUCCACUUAAUAUAUAAGUGCGUACUGACGUUUUAUUUCCUUCUUUUCAGAUAUACAACUUGUUGUGUUCUGAAUCUUUUACUUUGAGAAAAUUAGAGUGUUCAAAGCAGGCGUAACCAAGCCUUUGAAUAUAUUAGCAUGGGAUAAUGGAAUAAGACUUUUUGCCUUAUUUUCGUUGGUUCUUGAGGCUAAAGUAAUGAUUAAUAGGGAUAGUUGGGGUCAUUAGUAUUUAAUUGUCAGAGGUGAAAUUCUAAGAUUUAUUAAAGACUAACUACUGCGAAAGCAGUUGACAAGGAUGUUUUCAUUAAUCAAGAACGAAAGUUGGGGGAUCGAAGAUGAUCAGAUACCGUCGUAGUCUCAACCAUAAACUAUGCCGACCAAGGAUUCGGGGGUGUUAUAUGAAUGACCCUCCGGGCACUUAUAGAGAAAUCAUAAGUAUUUGGGUUCCGGGGGGAGUAUGGUCGCAAGGCUGUAACUUAAAGGAAUUGACGGAAGGGCACCACCAGGAGUGGAAUAUGCGGUUUAAUUUGACUCAACACGGGAAAACUUACCAGGUCCAGACACAGUGAGGAUUGACAGAUUGAGAGCUCUUUCUUGAUUUUGUGGGUGGUGGUGCAUGGCCGUUUCUAGUUGGUGGAGUGAUUUGUCUGGUUAAUUCCGUUAACGAACGAGACCUUAACCUAUUAAAUAGUUACACAUACUUGGGAUUCGUCCUAAUAGUAUGUGGUUAACUUCUUAGAGGGACUCUUCACGUAAAGAGUGAAUGGAAGUUUGAGGCAAAAACAGGUCUGUGAUGCCCUUAGAUGUUCUGGGCUACACGCGUGUUACACUGAUAUAUUCAACAAGCAUUAUAAUUCCUUACCCGAUGGGGUUGGGUAAUCUUUUAAAUGUAUAUCGUGAUGGGGAUAGACCGUUGUAAUUAUUGGUCUUGAACGAGGAAUUCCUAGUAAGUGCAAGUCAUUAGCUUGCGCUGAUUACGUCCCUGCCCUUUGUACACACCGCCCGUCGCUCCUACCGAUGAAUGGUCCGGUGAGGACUCAGGAUGACCGUGGAUUUUGGUAUAAUAUACCAUGCCAUUGUUUGUCAGAAUCUGUUCAAACCUUAUCAU